rnacentral:rRNA from 1 species
UACGAAGGGAGCUAGCGUUGUUCGGAAUCACUGGGCGUAAAGCGCACGUAGGCGGAUGUGUCAGUCAGGGGUGAAAUCCCGGAGCUCAACUUCGGAACUGCCCUUGAUACAGCACGUCUUGAGUCCGGAAGAGGUGGGUGGAAUUCCUAGUGUAGAGGUGAAAUUCGUAGAUAUUAGGAAGAACACCGGUGCGAAGGCGGCCCACUGGUCCGGUACUGACGCUGAGGUGCGAAAGCGUGGGGAGCAAACAGG